rnacentral:misc_RNA from 1 species
AAGUCGUAACAAGGUUUCCGUAGGUGAACCUGCGGAAGGAUCAUUAGUGAAUAUUAGGACGUUCAAUUUAACUUGAAGUCCGAACUCUCACUCUCUAACCCUGUGCAUUUGUUUUGGUUAGUAGGAUCUUAGUAUCUGAACGCCUCUUCAUUUUACAAACACAAAGUCUAUGAAUGUUUAAAUUUUAUAACAAAACAAAACUUUCAACAACGGAUCUCUUGGCUCUCGC